rnacentral:rRNA from 1 species
GACGAACGCUGGCGGCGUGCCUAACACAUGCAAGUCGAACGGAAAGGCCCUGCUUUUGUGGGGUGCUCGAGUGGCGAACGGGUGAGUAUCACGUGAGUAACCCGCCCUUGACUUUGGGAUAACUUCAGGAAACUGGGGCUAAUACCGGAUAGGAGCUCCUGCUGCAUGGUGGGGGUUGGAAAGUUUCGGCGGUUGGGGAUGGACUCGCGGCUUACCAGCUUGUUGGUGGGGUAGUGGCUUACCAAGGCUUCGACGGGUAGCCGGCCUGAGAGGGGGACCGGCGACAAUAGGACUGAGGGACGGACCAGAGUCGAACGGUAGGCAACGGGGGGGAGUCUUACACAAUGAGCGGGAGCCUGUGACGACAGCGCCGGGUUCGGAAAGACGGCCUUCGGGUUGUGAACCGCUUUCGCCUGUGACGAAGCGUGAGUGACGGUAACGGGUAAAGAAGCACCGGCUAACUACGUG